GUCUGAAGGCAAGAUUUAAAUAUCUCAAGAUGAAAUACAGGUUAUUCUCAAUUUUGUUGGCCAGACGAGGAGUCCAAUGGGAUAGAAGGACUAAUAGAGUAGUGUUUGCCCAUGAAGGGGUGUGGCUAUCAUAUGCCAUGGAACAUCCAGGGGCACGCCUAUUUCGUUACUACGGCAUUCAGCCAAGGCUUUUUGAUGCCAUGCGUGAUGUCUUUGAAACCGGAGUUUCAAUAGAUGGAAGAGCAUUGUGAUACAAGUUUCUUCUUAAGCCAAAGGUGUUUUACAAUUAUGCAGUACUGUCUGCCAGGGUUACAUCCUUAAUCAUAUUCAGUCCAGUCUAAACACUAUUUACUGUUACUUUUCCAUAUGAGUUGAAUUAUAACAUCAGCUGAAUCUUUUA